rnacentral:lncRNA from 1 species
AAUCACAGCCGGAUGUGAUUCAGCCUGGAUUCGAACCAGGGACUGUAGUGACACCUCUUGCACUGAGAUGCAGUGCAUUAGACCGCUGCGCCACAGCCUUUAUAGAUGAUAUUGUAAAAAAUCUAUACUGGUAUGUGUAUCCAUAAUGCUGUACUAUAGAAGGUGAUAUAUCUAUACUGGUAUGUGUAUCCAUAAUGCUGUACUAUAGAAGGUGAUAUAUCUAUACUGGUAUGUGUAUCCAUAAUGCUGUACUAUAGAAGGUGAUAUAUCUAUACUGGUAUGUGGAUCUAUAAAGCUGUACUAUAGAAGGUGAUAUAUCUAUACUGGUAUGUGGAUCCAUAAUGCUGUACUAUAGAAGGUGAUAUAUCUAUACUGGUAUGUGGAUCCAUAAUGCUGUACUAUAGAAGGUGAUAUAUCUAUACUGGUAUGUGGAUCCAUAAUGCUGUACUAUAAAAGGUGAUAUAUCUAUACUGGUAUGUGUAUACAUAAUGCUGUACUAUAGAAGGUGAUAUAUCUAUACUGGUAUGUGGAUCUAUAAUGCUGUACUUUAGGAGAUGAUAAAUCUAUACUGUGUCAUGAUGUUGGCCUGUGGGUAAGGUUUAUGACCCUCCAUAAAUACCUUUCUCCCUUCCCCUCUCUCUCUGACUCUACUGAAGGACUCUCGAAUAGCCUUUGUUAAACAUAGAGAGCCUGGGAACAUCAAACAAGUGGGGGGAAAGGAACCAUAUUUCGGUAAUAGAACCAGUUGGAAAUAUGCGUUGGUACUUAAUGAAUAUGGAUGUCAGUUCGGUUGUCAUCUGAGACAUUAUGACUGAUGACAGGACGACAUAAACUGUACCUGAGAAAGUAUACACACUCUAGUUAUCAGAUUCACAUGGAAUUGUUGUGCAAUUUAAAUGUUUAAUAUUGAAAUUGUUUGUUAGAAGAUUAAAUGUAAUUUUAGCUUCCAAAUGAGAGAAUUGGGUUUUCAUAAGGAAAGAGCCCUGCUCAAUCAGUGGCCCGCCCGUGUGAAGAGACAUGGGUUAUACACUAUGAAACACACCCUUCUCCCUCUCCACUAUAUAAGCCCUUGACGAAAAUGUAACCUUGUGUUCCGGGUACGUGAGGUCUGCAGCCUCUACGUUAAAAAGGACUAACAUGUCAAGUACAGAACUAAGCCAACCUCAGCGUGAGCUUUGGUUGUGAAUGGUAUGAACUUUGAACUCUUAUUCACUACAGAAGUGAUACCUCCUAGCCGUUGAGUUAGCAGCGGCCGCUGUAAACGUGGGCUAGGAAAGGACGGACGACGUAUCCAGUCGAACACACAACGAAGAUACUACAACGUACCCAAUUUACCACCAGAGCCAUUCUUCCGAGGACAGGAAGAUCUCUGUUGGCCAACCCGGCCAGCAUCUACGACCAACCUACCGAAGCGCAGCUCAGAGUAAAUAUUUAUUGCAUUUUCCU